UACGGAGGGUGCAAGCGUUAUCCGGAUUUAUUGGGUUUAAAGGGUCCGUAGGCGGACUUAUAAGUCAGUGGUGAAAUCCUGUCGCUUAACGAUAGAACUGCCAUUGAUACUGUAAGUCUUGAGUAUAUUUGAGGUAGCUGGAAUAAGUAGUGUAGCGGUGAAAUGCAUAGAUAUUACUUAGAACACCAAUUGCGAAGGCAGGUUACCAAGAUAUAACUGACGCUGAGGGACGAAAGCGUGGGGAGCGAACAGG
rnacentral:rRNA from 1 species